ACUCCUACGGGAGGCAGCAGUGGGGAAUAUUGCACAAUGGGCGCAAGCCUGAUGCAGCCAUGCCGCGUGUAUGAAGAAGGCCUCGGUUGUAAAGUACUUUCUAGCAGUGAGGAAGGUGGGUAGUGUUAAUAGCAUACUCAUUUGUACGUUAGCUGCAGAAGAAGCACCGGCUAACUCCGUGCCAGCAGCCGCGGUAAUACGGAGGGUGCGAGCGUUAAUCGGAAUUACUGGGCGUAAAGCGCAUGCAGGUGGUUUGUUAAGUUCAGAUGUGAAAGCCCGGGGCUCAACCUCGGAAUUGCAUUUGAAACUGGCAAACUAGAGUACUGUAGAGGGGGUAGAAUUUCAGGUGUAGCGGUGAAAUGCGUAGAGAUCUGAA
rnacentral:rRNA from 1 species